rnacentral:rRNA from 1 species
UCGGUAUCAGGCACGCCCAAGACAUCUAGCCAUGCCACACCCACAAAGGGCCUUCAGCAGUGAUUAACAUUAAAAAUAAACGUCAGUUUGAUUUAAUUAAAGAGAAGAGGGCCGGCUAAUCUGGUGCCAGCCGCCGCGGUUACACCAGUGGCCCUAAUAGAUCCGGCGUAAAGCGUGGUUAAAGUAGGGCUAAACUUAAACUAAGCUGUAGCACGCUUGUUUCAAGGAAACUCAUAUAUCGAAAGAUGCCCUACACCUAAACUUGAACCCACCACAACUUGGACAUAAACUAGGAUUAGAUACCCUACUAUACCCAGUCGUAAACUUUAACUUACCCCGCCAGGAAACUACGAGCAAAGCUUAAAACCCAAAGGACUUGACGGUGCCCCACAUCCCCCUAGAGGAGCCUGUCCUAUAAUCGAUACUCCCCGUUUAACCUCACCAUUUUUAGCAGCCUGUAUACUUCCGUCGUCAGCUUACCGCAUGAGCGAGUAAGCUUAAUGACCUCACGUCAGGUCAAAGUGCAGCUUAUAAAAUGGGAAGAGAUGGGCUACACUUUCUACUAUAGAAGAUACGAAAGAUUAUGUGAAACAGAAGGCGGAUUUAGAAGUAAAAAGAGAGCAGAGAGCUAUUUUUAACCGAGCACUGGGGCGCGUACACACCGCCCGUCACCCUCUUC